AGUGGGGAAUAUUGCACAAUGGGCGCAAGCCUGAUGCAGCCAUGCCGCGUGUGUGAAGAAGGCCUUCGGGUUGUAAAGCACUUUCAGUCAGGAGGAAAGGUUAGUAGUUAAUACCUGCUAGCUGUGACGUUACUGACAGAAGAAGCACCGGCUAACUCCGUGCCAGCAGCCGCGGUAAUACGGAGGGUGCGAGCGUUAAUCGGAAUUACUGGGCGUAAAGCGUACGCAGGCGGUUUGUUAAGCGAGAUGUGAAAGCCCCGGGCUCAACCUGGGAACUGCAUUUCGAACUGGCAAACUAGAGUGUGAUAGAGGGUGGUAGAAUUUCAGGUGUAGCGGUGAAAUGCGUAGAGAUCUGAAGGAAUACCGAUGGCGAAGGCAGCCACCUGGGUCAACACUGACGCUCAUGUACGAAAGCGUGGGGAGCAAACAGGAUUAGAUACCCUGGUAGUCCACGCCGUAAACGAUGUCUACUAGAAGCUCGGAACCUCGGUUCUGUUUUUCAAAGCUAACGCAUUAAGUAGACCGCCUGGGGANNNCGGCCGCAAGGUUA
rnacentral:rRNA from 1 species